rnacentral:rRNA from 1 species
UGGGGAAUUUUGGACAAUGGGCGAAAGCCUGAUCCAGCAAUGCCGCGUGUGUGAAGAAGGCCUUCGGGUUGUAAAGCACUUUUGUCCGGAAAGAAAUCCUUGGCUCUAAUACAGUCGGGGGAUGACGGUACCGGAAGAAUAAGCACCGGCUAACUACGUGCCAGCAGCCGCGGUAAUACGUAGGGUGCAAGCGUUAAUCGGAAUUACUGGGCGUAAAGCGUGCGCAGGCGGUUUGCUAAGACCGAUGUGAAAUCCCCGGGCUCAACCUGGGAACUGCAUUGGUGACUGGCAGGCUAGAGUAUGGCAGAGGGGGGUAGAAUUCCACGUGUAGCAGUGAAAUGCGUAGAGAUGUGGAGGAAUACCGAUGGCGAAGGCAGCCCCCUGGGCCAAUACUGACGCUCGUGCACGAAAGCGUGGGGAGCAAACAGGAUUAGAUACCCUGGUAGUCCACGCCCUAAACGAUGUCAACUAGUUGUUGGGGAUUCAUUUCCUUAGUAACGUAGCUAACGCGUGAAGUUGACCGCCUGGGGAGUACGGUCGCAAGAUUAAAACUUAAAUG